UUGUAAAAAUAGUCGUAUCUUUAGUAUAUUUUCUUUUUGUUUAGGUAAGCAGGAAAAAGUAAGUCGAAAUGUAUUACAAGUCCGUUUAUUUUUGUGUUAAUGGUAAAAUUUUAUUUGUUCCAUAAAAGGAUUACGUAUCCGAUAAGGGAAACUAUACACACAAAGUUUAAGUUUUAACCAAUAUUUGUAAAGAGUUGAUAAAAAUUUACUUACAGUUUUUAAUAAAUUUUUAAAGAUAUUUUAGAGUUGGUUAUAAUAGACGGAAAUUGUGUGUGUGUGUGUGGUUUCUGGCAAAAUAGAAUAGGACUACCCCAGAAGCGCUGGUAUUACCACUGUCACGUUCAUGAAGUUAGUAGACCUGAAAUAAGCUAUCGUAACAGUUGAGGAUGUAGUCGGGAAUAAAUACGCAAUGAUAAGACAGAAAGAGAGGAGACUAUAUUAUUUCGUUUAUUAUAAGUAGAUAAACUCAAUUGGUUAUAUUUUUAUAACAUGUUUUCUUAUAAGAGAAGCACUAAAAAUAUAGCUGAGAGUUUUAACACAGGGGUUUUCAGUGUUGCCAUAAUGAAUGUUGUAUGUUAUUUCAGUCAAUUACAUUGUAGUCAUUUAUGGUAAUGUUUCACGUGAUUCACACUAAUCAGUUAGUCAUACACACGACAUAAUGCGGUGGCUUCUUAAAGUGAUAAAAACAAUAUAACCUACGUAACUUGUUUAUCUAAAUUAAUGAAAUUAUAUACCUAUCCAUAGUUUUAUCUUUAUCAAAAUACAUAAAUAAUGCGAAGGGUAUUCUGCCUUCAAAGUCAAGCUGGAGUACUGAUUAAAUAAACGUUCGAUAAGGUUUAUGAAAUAAUUUAAUUUCUAAUUAAAGCUAUUGCCAGUAUGGGUUGUAACAUCUCGUGCCGUCCCUGUUGCUGCUGCUGUAUCCCCUGUCUCUGCUGCGAUUGCUGCGGAGACCCUCCUCGCACCGCCGUGGUGCACCAUCACCACGUCACCACAGUUCCUCAGCCCCAAGUCAUCAUCAACCAGCCACCACCUCCGUAUAGAUAGAAUAGAAAAUAUAAUAGAUUGAUUCUGUUGUUAAAAGGAUGGUUUUUACGUUAUUAGGUACAUGAUUUUGUCGAUCAAUUUUAUCGGCAGUUACCUCUGGUUAAUAAUAGAAUUCGGAAUAAUGUAAGACUAUAGAAGUGGUAAAGUACCUACUGGUGAAUGUGACGUGGCACCAAACAGUUUCAUCAGAAUCUACACAGAAUUCUGACUUUUACAACUGCACAGAUUACAAGUAGGAACAAUAUGGUAUUUCUCUUGUUUUAUAUUAUUCCGGCUUAUGGGAUACCAACAUACGUACCGAAAAUUAAUUGGACUAAACAAAACUUUUCGCGACACAAACUAUUAUAAGUAUGUUUAUUUACCUAGAUAAAUCAUAAUUUAGUUUAUGAACUUCUACAGGUAUUGAUUUAAGGUUUUUGUUGUAAGUUUUUACUAUCUAAUAAUUAGUUUGGAUUUGGAAAAUUAGACAUUCUUUCCUUAGCCAGCUAGGCUUUCUAACAGGAACGUCUUGCUAUUAGGGUUAACUUUGUGUUAUUAUUUUUUGUAGCAACCAUGGGGUGCAUUUUCUCCAAAGUCAAAAUUCAUCAUUUUCAAUCUACUUCAAUAAAAAAAUUAUAUAAAUAAAAACUGGGUGGAAUACUUACUUAAAUUUGGUAGGUUCUAGUUUUGUUAAGUAAGUUUUGUGUAGUUACACAAUUCACCACUAGUUAAUUUAGAAAUAACAUUCCUAUUUAUGACAAAGCUUCGUAAUGUUUUCAAACAUUUUAAUCAUAGCAAACAUACAGCAGUUUUGUAGCAUUUAGUUAGCGUAAUCUUCGUACAGGCGUUGUUAAACUUAAUAAAAUUAAUUAGUAUA
rnacentral:lncRNA from 1 species